rnacentral:rRNA from 1 species
GACGUAGGAUGCAAGCGUUGUCCGGAAUUAUUGGGCGUAAAGAGUUCGUAGGCGGUUAUUUAAGUCUGGUGUUAAAGACGGGAGCUUAACUCCCGCAUGGCACUGGAAACUGGAUGGCUAGAGUGUGGUAGAGGUCUCGGGAAUUCCAGGUGUAGCGGUGAAAUGCGUAGAUAUCUGGAGGAACACCGGUGGCGAAAGCGCGAGACUGGGCCAUAACUGACGCUGAGGAACGAAAGCCAGGGGAGCAAAAGGG